GUUAGUUUAGUAUAAUAAUUAUAAUUACCUUCCAAGUAAGAGAUAUCAUAUGAUAACUAAAA
rnacentral:tRNA from 1 species